rnacentral:rRNA from 1 species
UGAACGCUGGCGGCGUGCCUAAUACAUGCAAAUCGAGCGAACAGACGAGGAGCUUGCUCCUCUGACGUUAGCGGCGGACGGGUGAGUAACACGUGGAUAACCUACCUAUAAGACUGGGAUAACUUCGGGAAACCGGAGCUAAUACCGGAUAAUAUAUUGAACCGCAUGGUUCAAUAGUGAAAGACGGUUUUGCUGUCACUUAUAGAUGGAUCCGCGCCGCAUUAGCUAGUUGGUAAGGUAACGGCUUACCAAGGCAACGAUGCGUAGCCGACCUGAGAGGGUGAUCGGCCACACUGGAACUGAGACACGGUCCAGACUCCUACGGGAGGCAGCAGUAGGGAAUCUUCCGCAAUGGGCGAAAGCCUGACGGAGCAACGCCGCGUGAGUGAUGAAGGUCUUCAGAUCGUAAAACUCUGUUAUUAGGGAAGAACAAAUGUGUAAGUAACUAUGCACGUCUUGACGGUACCUAAUCAGAAAGCCACGGCUAACUACGUG